GUGCUCGCUCCCGCAGCACCUAUACUAAAAUUGGAAUGAUACAGAGAUUAGCAUGGCCCCUGCGCAAGGAUGACACACAAAUUUGUGAAGUGUUCCAUAUUUUU
rnacentral:snRNA from 1 species